rnacentral:rRNA from 1 species
CCUUUUUGAUUAUUAUAAAAGGUAACGCCUGCCCAGUGACAUAUGUUCAACGGCCGCGGUAUUCUGACCGUGCAAAGGUAGCGUAAUCACUUGUCUUUUAAAUAAGGACUAGUAUGAAUGGCAUCACGAGGGCUUAACUGUCUCCCUAAUUUAAUCAGUGAAACUGAUCUUCCAGUGAAAAAGCUGGAAUAAUUUCAUAAGACGAGAAGACCCUGUGGAGCUUUAAAUUUAAAACUAAUUGUAUUAUCUGCCAAAUCAAAUGUCACUAAUAUACAAAUUUAGCCUAAAUUUUUAGUUGGGGCGACUAUGGAGAAAAACCCAUCCUCCAUGAAAACAUACCUUGAGCCACCACUCUAAGUAUUAGUAAAUCUAAAUUUAAUUGAUCCUUUUUGAUCAACGGACCAAGUUACCCUAGGGAUAACAGCGCAAUCCAUUUCAAGAGUCCCUAUCGACAAAUGGGUUUACGACCUCGAUGUUGGAUUAGGACAUCCUAGUGGUGUAGCCGCUACUAACGGUUCGUUUGUU